UAUUGACCCGUUUCACGUGACGUCACGCUCUCCAGAACUCCGCCCACUCCGCCGCGACGGAAGUCAAAAUAACAAAUGGACUCCUUAAAGCUAGGCUAAGCUCAGACAUCUGUAACCUAAUGUCGCUUUAAUUUAGAUGAUUUCACUUUAGAAAUAGUCAUAGGGUGCUGCGCGGUCGGAUGCCAACCAAACAUGUCAUUUUAUUGUAUAACUUUUAAUGAGGAAAGAUGGCGGCGAUGGAUUGCAGCGAUUACAGCCCUCGGUGUAACCGCGGAUUUACAGGGAACACUUUUUACAAGAGUUAUGUUGCUGGGGAACAAACAUGGAGCUCCGGGACAAAGAUGCCGGAUCAGCAAAGCCUUUUCUGUGGGGCUGAAUGAAGGCGGCAGCGUUACAGCAAGCGGCUGAGGUUAAAGCUGAAAAUGGAUUCAUCGAAAGGAGCCGAGAGGGAAAAAGCUUCAUCACAUGACGGAUGAUGAUGAUGAUGAUGAUGAUGUGGCGCAAAGAGCCUCAAUAAUCCGCAGCGCAGAAAACUCACUGGAAAAAGGAGACAAUCUGUUUUUCUCAGCACAAUAAAACAAACUCCAACAGCUAAUGCAGAGCUCUUCCUGCUGGUUAACAGACUUUCUCAAAGGAAGACGGUCCCACAAGCUGAAAUUCCCCAAACAAUCACUGAACCAACGUCUCAAUCCUCCAACAAUCAAGCCUCAUCCGAAGUUCUUUGUUUGUGAGAGUUAUAAUAAGCAGCACAUCCCCUCAGCAGCAGCGCAGGCCCACAGAGCUGCCUUCCGGAGCAGCUAUGGCUCCCCCUAGCUACCUCUCCGUAUUUCCUUGUUAGUGCACACCCAGAGCCCUGACCCUCCCUGCCUACAAAACACACCAAAUACACCAAA